UGGCAUUUAUAGAAGGCCAGCUCUCUCUCAGACAUUGAUUGGAUUCAGAAUCUCCCCAUGAGCCAAUGCAUCAGAAAAGGGCAUUUUCUAGAACAUUCCAGGAGGCAGAGCUAUUGCCCUUGGAGGCAAUUCCUGCUGCAUCUUCACUCUUCCAGUGGCUUGGCUACCCAGUUCAUAAAGGGGUUUACCCUUUGGCCUUGAUUCUAAAGUACCCAGGAAACCAGUGGAAACUGCUAUAAGUCUUUCUACAAAGUAGUGUAACUACCUUUCUUCUCUGAGCCUUGAUGGGAUCUCUCUUCAUCAGAACUGACAUUCAUUUUUUAAGCAUUGACAUCCUGUCUAGGUGAAGAAUGAGAAAAUGUAGAGCACAGAGUGGCUUGGCAAUGCCCAACAACCCCAAGGAGGCUGAGAGUUCAGUAACCAGCCUGGAGGUGUCUAUAUGAAGAGAAAGCAAGAAGACGUUCUGAGAGUGACUAUCUAAGACUCUCAGCUAAAUUUUGCCAUCCUACCUACAGUCACUUAUAUUUAAAUCAUUAACUCAUUUGUCAUCCUAAUUUUUAAGAAGCUUCCCAUUAGAAAUAUAACAGAAAAUGCAUUGCUAUGUAUGAAUAUGCCCAUAAGAAAAUAUACUAUUUGCUUGUUUGUCAUGUUAACAGAUCUUUCCUAUAUUUAUAUUUUAAAUUUGUGUAUAGUCAUUAUAUAUAGUGAUGUGUGUCAUAAACAUUAUUUUAAUGUAGAUAUAUCAUGUACUUUGACCAUAUUGACUCUCCACCUGCAUUUUCUCCUAUCUGUCCCACUCAUAAUUCCCUAUCAUUCUCCCAGGCAAUAUAACUUCUAUUUUUAUUACACACACACACACACACACACACACACACACAC